rnacentral:rRNA from 1 species
UGGGGAAUUUUGCACAAUGGGGGAAACCCUGAUGCAGCGACGCCGCGUGAUUUAGAAGGCCUUCGGGUUGUACAAAUCUUUUCUAUGGGAAGAAAAUGACAGUACCAUAGGAAUAAGGACCGGCUAAUUACGUGCCAGCAGCCGCGGUAAUACGUAAGGUCCGAGCGUUGUCCGGAAUCAUUGGGCGUAAAGGGUACGUAGGCGGGUAAGCAAGUUAGAAGUGAAAUCCUAUAGCUCAACUAUAGUAAGCUUUUAAAACUGCUCAUCUUGAGGUAUGGAAGGGAAAGUGGAAUUCCUAGUGUAGCGGUGAAAUGCGCAGAUAUUAGGAGGAAUACCGGUGGCGAAGGCGACUUUCUGGCCAUAACCUGACGCUGAGGUACGAAAGCGUGGGUAGCAAACAGG